rnacentral:rRNA from 1 species
AGUGAACGCUGGCGGUAGGCCUAACACAUGCAAGUGGAACGGCAGCACAGGAGAGCUUGCUCUCUGGGUGGCGAGUGGCGGACGGGUGAGGAAUACAUCGGAAUCUACUCUGUCGUGGGGGAUAACGUAGGGAGACUUACGCUAAUACCGCAUACGACCUACGGGUGGAAGCAGGGGACCUUCGGGCCUUGCGCGAUUGAAUGAGCCGAUGUCGGAUUAGCUAGUUGGCGGGGUAAAGGCCCACCAAGGCGACGAUCCGUAGCUGGUCUGAGAGGAUGAUCAGCCACACUGGAACCGAGACACGGUCCAGACUCCUACGGGAGGCAGCAGUGGGGAAUAUUGGACAAUGGGCGCAAGCCUGAUCCAGCCAUACCGCGUGGGUGAAGAAGGCCUUCGGGUUGUAAAGCCCUUUUGUUGGGAAAGAAAUCCAGCUGGUCAAUACCCGGUUGGGAUGACGGUACCCAAAGAAUAAGCACCGGCUAACUUCGUGCCAGCAGCCGCGGUAA